rnacentral:rRNA from 1 species
AUUGAACGCUGGCGGCAUGCUUUACACAUGCAAGUCGAACGGUAACAGGCCUUCGGGUGCUGACGAGUGGCGAACGGGUGAGUAAUGCAUCGGAACGUGCCCAGAGGUGGGGGAUAUCGCAGCGAAAGCUGUGCUAAUACCGCAUGUGAUCUGAGGUUGAAAGCGGGGGACCGGGCAGCAAUGUUUGGCCUCGCGCCUUUGGAGCGGCCGAUGUCGGAUUAGGUAGUUGGUGGGGUAAAGGCCUACCAAGCCGACGAUCUGUAGCUGGUCUGAGAGGACGACCAGCCACACUGGGACUGAGACACGGCCCAGACUCCUACGGGAGGCAGCAGUGGGGAAUUUUGGACAAUGGGCGCAAGCCUGAUCCAGCAAUGCCGCGUGCGGGAAGAAGGCCUUCGGGUUGUAAACCGCUUUUGUACGGAACGAAAAGGCUCUGGCUAAUACCUGGGGCUGAUGACGGUACCGUAAGAAUAAGCACCGGCUAACUACGUG